rnacentral:rRNA from 1 species
GACAUCCCGAGAAUCCCCUGGAAACAGGGGAGUGCCUUUCGGGGAACUCGGAGACAGGUGCUGCAUGGCUGUCGUCAGCUCGUGUCGUGAGAUGUUGGGUUAAGUCCCGCAACGAGCGCAACCCUUGUCUUUAAUUGCCAGCAUUCAGUUGGGCACUUUAAAGAGACUGCCGGUGUUAAGCCGGAGGAAGGUGGGAUGACGUCAAGUCCUCAUGGCCUUUAUGCCCAGGGCUACACACGUGCUACAAUGGGUGGUACAAAGAGAUGCCAACUCGCGAGAGCGCGCCAAUCUCAGAAAGCCAUCCUCAGUUCGGAUUGGAGUCUGCAACUCGACUCCAUGAAGUUGGAAUCGCUAGUAAUCGCGGAUCAGCACGCCGCGGUGAAUACGUUCCCGGGCCUU